rnacentral:misc_RNA from 1 species
GUAGGUGAACCUGCGGAAGGAUCAUUAUUGAUUUUUAAAGGAUGUGCUGGCUGCCCUCAGAGGUUUGCAUGUGCACUCCACAAAAUCUCCAUUCUCUACACCAUUGUGCACAACCCAGUAGGCAAAACAGGUUCACAGAGCAAUAGACGAAGCGCCGGAGCGGACGAGCGCAUCUGGGCCACAAAUAAUUAGUGAGCCCGAUUGCUGUGCACACUGUCUGCCUAUGUUUUUUAUACCAAACCCCAAUAAU